AUCCUUCUGUAGCUCAUCAGCUUGAGGGCUGCGUUUUCAUGCGCAUGCGUGAGAUGUGCCGCGCCCAGAUCUUGUCCUGACGUCGGCACCGCACCGCCUGACG
ensembl:snoRNA